AGAUUGAACGCUGGCGGCGUGCUUAACACAUGCAAGUCGAGCGGUAACAGGUGUAGCAAUACAUGCUGACGAGCGGCGAACGGGUGAGUAAUGCUUCGGAAUCUACCUAGUAGUGGGGAACAACUAACCGAAAGGUUAGCUAAUGCCGCAUACGACCUAUGGGUGAAAGCGGGGGAUCGCAAGACCUCGCGCUAUUAGAUGAGCCGAAGUCGGAUUAGCUAGUUGGUAGGGUAACGGCCUACCAAGGCGACGAUCCGUAGCUGGUCUGAGAGGACGACCAGCCACACUGGGACUGAGACACGGCCCAGACUCCUACGGGAGGCAGCAGUUGGGAAUCUUGGACAAUGGGGGAAACCCUGAUCCAGCCAUGCCGCGUGAGUGAUGAAGGCCUUCGGGUUGUAAAACUCUUUCGACGGGGACGAUAAUGACGGUACCCGUAGAAGAAGCUCCGGCUAACUUCGUGCCAGCAGCCGC
rnacentral:rRNA from 1 species